GGGCCUGUAGUAUAACGGUAGAAUGCGACAUUCGCAUUGUCGAGAUCCGAGUUCAAUUCUCGGCAGGUCCA
rnacentral:tRNA from 1 species